GCACAAAAGCCAUGAAGCUCUCUCUGGUGGCAGCCAUUUAUCUCUGCUAGGUUUUCUUUCCACUGUUAUCGCUGAGGUGUCUGAGAACACUUGUGUGAAGCUUUUUUCUUACCCCUUCCUCAGGGAGGGAACAGUUCAUGCAUGAAGUGUUUUACUUUGACAGCAAUUUGCUUGUGAUAGAUUUCCUUCAAAGUAAAUGUUUAUGGAUGUUUAUAGAGAAAUAAGUGCUUAAAAGUAGUGUGUCUGCAGAGUUUAAGGCGGUGAGAUUUACACUGCUUAGCUCUGUGGCCUGGGACUCUGUCUCCUGCAUAGACGAGCUUCGUGCUUCUGGUCGACAGUCUUGUUGGGCACGAGGAACGGAACUGCUGACCUCAGGGUUUAUCGUCAAGAUGUGCUGCGCUCAAGCCAGUGGAAAGAAGGAGAGAGAUCUGAAGUUUUAUUCCAUAGUCUCUGAGGACACAGUGAAGAAAGCAGAAACAGCUGUCUGACAGGGACUGGUUUGUUUGUUUGAAGUGGGACGUGCUCAUGUUGCUCAUGUUGUUAGUGAAGUGAAUCUCUGUGUACUCUGCAGGGCUCAUAGCUUGAAUCAAGCCCUCAGAGCUGUGAUGAUGUCCUGUACUGUUGCAGACAACGGAUUGUUUGCUGGGCCUGCUGCCUCAAGAUAACUUGUUGAUUUUCAGUGCUAAUAAAGCCCUACACGGUUUGCUGGAAGGAUUUGCAGGGGGGGAAAUGGUUCUGGUGGAAAUAACAGCCCUCUCCCCUUCAUACUGAGCAUAAACUGUACACUUUUUCUAUGUAUCAAACUUCUCAAAGCAUCACAGCACAGAAAUGCUAAUGUGAAGGAAAUUUGGAAAUUAACUGACGUUUACUAUUUCUGUCAUCUAGAUUGGUAAUUGGUAUCAUACACAUUUCUGAAUAAUAAUAAUAAUAAUAAUAAUAAUCCCAGAUGGACAUGGAAUUAUGAGGCUGUUGGCAAUUAUACUCUGGUAAAGUCUGCUGUAGUGAUCUGCAACGUGUGCAAAUAACGAGAGAACAGAGGCAGAACGUGGAUGCAACACAAAUCAUGUCACAAGACCUCCAGACUUCAGUGUCUUUGCUCUUGGGACUGAAGGAUGUCACAAACAGGGAAUUCAAAGUCCAUCGGCGGAUUGUAAGUCUCCACUGAUUAUUCUUGUAUGUAUUCUCAUUUUAUAACGCUGUAACUAUGUCAACUCAGUGAACUUACUCAUACUUUAUAGAGGAAUAAAUUACAACAAAAACAGGCCAUUGACUUAAUGCUUAACCUUAAACUUUGGUAAAUUGCUGUAAAUAAAGGUUAAUGUAAGUGAAAACUAAGAAUAUAUGUUACAAUGAAAUAGAUUCAGCAAAAUAA